AACGCGAAGAACCUUACCUGGGCUCGAAAUGGAGUGGACCGGAGUAGAAAUAUUCCUUCCCCGCAAGGGGCUGCUCUAUAGGUGCUGCAUGGCUGUCGUCAGCUCGUGUCGUGAGAUGUUGGGUUAAGUCCCGCAACGAGCGCAACCCUUGUCCUGUGUUGGCAUGCCGUAAGGCGCAACUCUCAGGAGACCGCCAGCGAUAAGCUGGAGGAAGGUGGGGAUGACGUCAAGUCAUCAUGGCCUUUAUGUCCAGGGCCACACACGUGCUACAAUGGGCGGUACAAAGCGCUGCCAACCCGCGAGGGGGAGCUAAUCGCCAAAAACCGUCCUCAGUUCGGAUCGCAGGCUGCAACUCGCCUGCGUGAAGCUGGAAUCGCUAGUAAUGCUAUAUCAGAACGAUAGCGUGAAUACGUUCCCGGGCCUUGUACACACCGAGACGUA
rnacentral:rRNA from 1 species